rnacentral:rRNA from 1 species
UCUGAUAUCCAUCCAUCUUUUGAUAAAUAAAGAAAACAAAUCUUGUCUGAUCUCAGAAGCUAAGCAGGGUCGGGCCAGGUUUGUACUUGGAUGGGAGCCUGGGAAUAGCAGGUGCUGUAAGCU